ensembl:lncRNA
GCUCUUCAUUGAUGUUCAGUGCUGUUUGUUCUGUGCAUGAUGUUCAUUUGCAUGAUGAUCUGCAUGCUGUUUUUAUUUUCUAAAUUUGAAAUGUUGUUUUUGCAAUUCAGUCAGGGGUAAUUUUUUUGCUUUAGAGUAAAUAUACUUUGCUUUUUUGUCCAAUUUUUCUGGUUAUAAUAUAUUAAAAUAUUUCUGUUUGAUUUUGUUGCAGUAAAUUGACAAACAGAAUCGCUCCAGGACCAUGGAAGCUGAUCAAGAACAAGGUUAGUUUUAUUAGGCUUUCAAAAAACAUAAGCUACUUAUAUAGAUUGUGUUUUUAUAUGUUUGUCACAUCCUUUCCAGGGAUAACUUAAUGAUAAUUGCAUUGUUUUAGAAUGUUCCACAACAGUUGACUGGCUCUGUGGACUGUGGGAUCUUCAUGCUGAUGUAUGCUCUGCACAUGGUCUUUGAGGCACCCUUUGAUUUUACAGCUGAAACAUGCUGCCGUUGAUGUGCAGGAGCCACCUAAAGCACAAGAAGACACCGAAAUCGGCGACAUGGUAUGUUUUUAUUGUCUCAAACGGGCACAUGAAAGAGCAUAAUUUCAAAACAUUACUUUACAUGCAUCCUGAUUAAACCACAAUGUAUUGUUGA